rnacentral:rRNA from 1 species
GAUGAACGCUGGCGGCGUGCCUAAUACAUGCAAGUCGAGCGAACGGACGAGAAGCUUGCUUCUCUGAUAUUAGCGUCGCACGGGUGAGUAACACGUGGAUAACCUACCUAUAAGACUGGGAUAACUUCGGGAAACCGUAGCUAAUACCGGAUAAUCUUUUUAACCGCAUGGUUCAAAAGAGAAAGACGGUCUUGCUGUCACUUAUACAUGGAUCCGCGCUGCAUUAGCUAGUUGGUAAGGUAACGGCUUACCAAGGCAACGAUGCAUAGCCGACCUGAGAGGGUGAUCGGCCACACUGGAACUGAGACACGGUCCAGACUCCUACGGGAGGCAGCAGUAGGGAAUCUUCCGCAAUGGGCGAAAUCCUGACGGAGCAACGCCGCGUGAGUGAUGAAGGUCUUCGGAUCGUAAAACUCUGUUAUUAGGGAAGAACAUAUGUGUAAGUAACUGUGCACAUCUUGACGGUACCUAAUCAGAAAGCCACGGCUAACUACGUG